AGUCCAUCAGCACAGAAAUGUCAGGAGAAACAAAUGUGGCUGAGCUUGCUGUGAGGUUGGUGCUUUUGAAGAGGGGGACCAUUACUCCUGUCCAAAGUGCCGCGUAGGUCAGUCUGGAUCUCGUCAAAAGAAUCCACUUGAUGCAUUUCAUUUGGAUCUUCAGCUGGAAUGAUGAUGGAGUCUUCUG